AAAACUCUGAAAUACUGGAUGCUAUAGAGGUUAACUCUCGGGUUACUGAUGUCGUACAGGACUUAAGUGGGAUUUACACUUCUGCGUGGGCUACCCGUCGACGCCGUAGCCUACACUACACCUCCACAGAAAUUGGAGCUGAUCUCUGUGGCUGCUAAAGUUGCUGGAGUUUGGAGACAAAGAUGGGACUCUCAUGGACGCCCAUAAACACCCGGGCGCACGCACGCAGAGACACACCAAAAGGAUGGAAGGACGUAUUCAAAGAUCCAAAGAUGUAUGGGAUACCGUAAAUCUUCAAUGCAGGCUGCAGAGACUCCUCCGUUAAUCAAAGUCAGUGGUGCAGAGACACUGAAUCAUGCAGGGGCAAAGGCCUAGGAGCUGGUUAGUAAACCUGCACUAUCAACCCCGCACCAGAUCCCCCAUCAAAAUAAAUACAGUGGCAGCCUAUAGAUCAGCGGGAUCAUAUUGUAUGUGUAGUGUCAUGAGUUCACUCGAGCUUGGCUUUUGACCUGCAGCCAUAUGGGAAUGUCAUGGAGUACAG